GACGCGAAAUACCCAUAUUAAUUCACAGAAGAGUCUGUGCGUCUUCGUAGAAUAUUCAUUUCUUCUUCCUGUCUGCCAAGUUUAAGCUACUACAGCUUGUACUGUUGUUGAUAUUUAUGAUGUCCAUCGUAGAAGAAUGGUGGAAAUUGACUGUUUUGUUCAUUCAUAAUUGUAAUUUCAUGAAAAGUUUGUGCAGCAAGACCACAUCAACAGUAAGGCUAUUAAACUGUUAGGUCACAGAGAACAUGUCUUCUGGUUAGAGAAUAUGCGAUGCACAUUAUGAAAAUAUUUGUUUAAACGCAUACGCUUAUGGACAAUCCUAUGAACUCGAAAAGUGGCAAUCCCGGAAAAAAACAUGAACAAAAAUGUAAUAACUUGAAUAAGAAAAAGGCGCGGUGCAGAUGUCAGUAUUUGAUAAAGGUAUUUUAACUACAUGGGAUAACUACUUGAGAUUAUUUCUAAUUGCAGAAUUACACGGUGUUACACUUACCAAGAAAAAUAUUCCGUUUCAGAAGUUGCAAAAGAAGAUAUGCCACACCACGUCUUUCAGCAGACAGGCAAGAGAAAAAAGUGAAAGUGGAACCAAAGGUUAGAAAACCUGAAUACGAAGUAGCUGAUACAGCAAAUUUACUUGCUGAAAUAUCGACUGACAUCUGACACGUACAAAGGCCGCAGUAAGUGAAGGGACACUAAAGAUCAUGUACACCAUCAGAAGUCCUUCGGAUGUGAUUUUAAAUCGAGUUCCCGUGCGGGAAACGAUUCCAUGUUAAUUAUUACAGACGGGGAGCUGCGUGCGGGAAACGUUCCAUAUUAAUUAUUUCAGACGGGGAGCUGCGUGCGGGAAACGUUUCCAUGUUAAUUAUUUCAGACAGGGAGCUACGUGCGUGGAAACGUUCCAUAUUAAUUGUUUCAGACAGGGAGCUGCGUGCGGGAAACGUUUCCAUGUUAAUUAUUUCAGACAGGGAGCUACGUGCGGAAAACGUUCCGUAUUAAUUAUUUCAGACAGGGAGCUGCGUGUUGGAAACGUGUCCAUGUUAAUUAUUUCAAACAGGGAGCUGGGUUUGGUAUACUUGGACUCAUAGUUAUUUCAAAUAUGAUCAGCAUCUAUGUCCGCCAUCAUGUUGAUAUAGUUCCUCGAUUGCUAAAGGUUUGGGUGGUGGAGCUUAUCAAAUGGCAUUAUAUUGGACAAAGACGAGCACUCGGGUACGGAACCAACAAGGCAGCUAGAGGAUUUUCUCACAUUUACAUUUUCUACAAUUUUACGAAAAAUGUUACUCCUUUCAAGCAAAUAUUGACACUAUACGCCUUUUAGACUUAGGUGUUUAAUGCUAAAUAAAAUAGUGUUUGAAUUAGUGUAGUUAGAUUGGAGUGAAUGAACAGCGACAGAAACUCGAUGAUUGGAUGAUUUCUCUUGAUGAGAAUGACUGGAUAAACAAGGUGAAUGAAUGCAAGACUAUACAAGGUGAAUGAAUGCAAGGCUAUACAAGGUGAAUGAAUGCAAGACUAUACAAGCUGAAUGCAUGCAAGACUAUACAAGGUGAAUGAAUGCAAGACUAUACAAGGUGAAUGAAUGCAAGACUAUACAAGCUGAAUGCAUGCAUGAAAUUGAAUUAGUGGAUAAACGUAUGAAUAAACAAGUUUAAUAAAUGAAUUAAUGUGUUUAAUGAAUUAAUAAAGGAAAAGUUGAUAGGUUGAUUGAUCAAAUUAAUGAAGAACUUUAGAGAACGAAAGAGUACACUAACUUAGUGAAUGAAAGAAUGUAUUGGUAAAAGAAAGACUGAAAGAAUGUAAGAAAUUAAUCAGAUGAACAAAUGAACAUUUGUGUUGAAUGAAUGAACAAAUUAAUGAAUGAGUGGGAGAAUGAAUGAAUGAGCAUUGUGAAUUAGUCAAUUUAAGACUAAAUGGCUGAAAGUAUGAAUGAACUAGAAGAUGCUUUUGUAGAAAAGCGCAUGUCUCCGCCCACCCCCCACACCCAAUGCAUAGUAGUAAUAAACAUGAAGUCAAUAGGGGACAGGAGCAAAAGUCCAAGGGACACCGAUGGUUGGCUGCAAUAAGAAUCAUCUACUCGGCAUGUCUAAUCAUCCCAAAAAGUUUCAACAUUCUUGGCCUAGUGGUUCUCAAAUAUUGGAUUGGAAACUGUUUUUCAUGUUCUGGCUCCUGUGACCUUGACCUUUGAUCGAGUGACCCCAAAAUCAAUGGGGGUCAUCUACUCUGCAUGUCCAAUCAUCCUAUGAAGUGUAAAGGUUCUGGGUCAAAUGGUUCUGAAGUUAUUGAUUAGAAAUGGUCAACAUUCUGGGCCAAGUGGUUCUCAAGUUACUGAUCGGAGUUUCCCAUGUUCAGGUCCCUAUGACAUUGAUCUUUGCUCAAGUGACCCUAAAAUCAAUAGGGGUCAUCCACUCUUAAGUCCCAUCACCCUAUUUAAGUUUGAAGGGUCUGGGUCAAAUGGUUUUCCAAUUUCUGGCCCCUGUGACCUUGAACUUUGAUCAAGUGACCCAAAAAACUAUAGGGGUCAUCUUGUCUACGUUUCCAAUCACCCUAUGAAGUUUCAGCAUUCUGGGUCAAGCGAUUCUCAAGUUAUUGAUCAGAAACGGUUUUCCAUGUUCAGGCCCCUUUGAACUUGACCUUUGAUAGAGUAAUGCCAAAAAUAAUAGGGGUCAUCUACUUUGUAAGCCUCAUCACCCGAUGAAGUUUGAAGGUUCUAGGUCAAAGGAGACAUAAUAAACAAGGUGACUAAUAUUAUGUGAAAUAGAUAAAUAUGCACUUUUUUUUUGCUUUAACAUCACACUGGCACAAUUAUUUGUGGUAUGGUGACACUCCAGCUUUUCAUAGUGGAGGUAGACACUGGGUGUCCAUCCAAUCACUUUUUCUAGCACAGGUCGACACCUGGGUUGAACCACUGACCUAGCAAGCUGGAAGGCUUCCUCACAAAUGCAGACUGAAAGUAAAACACAAAAGACAAUCAUGUUCUAUAGAAUUUUUAUUUUUUCAUGUAUAAUUAUGUACAUGACUGAAUACACGAUCUAGAUCUAGGGCAUAUUAACAGAUAAACUUAUAAAAUUCAACUUAGUACAGUAGUCUAGACUAUGAAAUUGACAAUUAUUUGCCACUUUGAACAGUAUUAUAAAAUGUCAGAACAAUAUAAAACAAAGUAAUACAAAAAUAUUCCAUUUAGAAGAAUGUGUUUUAUGUUAAUGUCUUUUUACCUCAUUAAUGACAAAAGUGGUUAAAAAAAUUCAUGAAACAGCAUGUUUCAAUAUGGCAACUAAAAAUGAAUGCAAGCACAAUACAGUGAAACACUGCUCGCAUGGGCAUUCAUGACUGGAGCACUCGGGUUUACUUGAUCAAGUCGUACGUCCCAACUGUUUUCCUUAAGUUGUAAUUUGUUUGCAUCACUUGUAACCCUGGAUAGCUUUAUCCUUUUGAUCAUCUUGCUACCUCGAACAAUGUUUUUAUGUACUUAGCAAUACUGUAGUCUACAGUUACAACCAAAGUACUUUGGUUAAUGGUCAAUACAAAAUAAAAAGAAUUUUGGACUUACUUUUUUUUAACUAAUCAGUAUGCAUUUUUUUCUGAAUUUGUAUCAAUUUCCUAAUAACUUAUUUUCUACAGAGGAACACUUUCAUGAAAGCUUUUUGAAUAAAGAUAAGGAAACAAGAACUAAAAUUUACUAGGAACUUUAAACAACUAACAGGCUAUCAUGUUACAUACUAAAGUGCACUUAAAGAAAUGUACCACUAUUUAAAAAGUGUUGCUGAAAUUAUCUUCAUGGCCCAUAUUGAUCAACAUUGCAGUCUGAAAUCUAUAUAUAGAAUAUAAAAUUCCAAUAUCAUGUUUGCUCUUUGAAAGUUUCAAGCUUAUCUGAACCACUCCCAAGUUCCCUUCCUGAAAAAAACCAGUGCUGGUAUCAUAUAAGAAGGCUUGAUAGUGACCCAAGUGGAGCUCAAACCUAUGAACAAGGGUCAUUAGACCACUGCUCCCCUAUUUUGUACUCUGCCCUUUAAGUUUGAAUUUCAGACUUGUAAUCUGAAUGUUAAAAAGUAUGGGCCAUAUUUUAAUAUGAAUCUAAAAC